UACGAAGGUCCCGAGCGUUAUCCGGAUUUAUUGGGUUUAAAGGGUGCGUAGGCGGGUUAUUAAGUCAGUGGUGAAAGCCUACAGCUUAACUGUAGAAUUGCCAUUGAUACUGAUGAUCUUGAGUAUGAUUGAGGUGGGCGGAAUGUGUCAUGUAGCGGUGAAAUGCUUAGAUAUGACACAGAACACCGAUUGCGAAGGCAGCUCACUA
rnacentral:rRNA from 1 species